GUGUUUGUGCGGCUGCAGAGCUUUGAGAUUUGCAGCCCAAAUGCGCAGUUUGACUUUAUUUGUGGGUUUAUUCGCUCUGUACUGCGUUCAUGCAAAGAUCUACUUCCGGGAGGAGUUUCUGGACGGAGAUGAAUGGAGAAGUUGCUGGGUGAACUCCAAACACAAAUCUGGUUACAGAGAAUGGAAGCUGACGGCUGGGAACUUCUAUGAAGAUGCAGAAAAGGACAAAGGCCUGCAGACCAGCCAAGACACUCGCUUCUAUGCCGCCUCGCCCCGCUUCGAGCCGUUCAGCAAAGAGGGAAAGUCCGUGGUCAUUCAGUUCACAGUGAAGCACGAGCAGAAGAUCGACUGCAGCGGAAGCUACGUGAAGGUCUUCCCCUCUGACCUGAACCAGACCAACAUGCAUGGAGACUCUUCACACUACAUCAUGUUUGGCCCUGAUAUCUGGGGCUACAGCACCAAGAAGGUCCACGUCAUCUUUAAUUACAAGGGCAAGAAUCACCUCAUCAAGAAAGAGAUCAAAUGCAAGGAUGACGAGUUCACCCACUUGUACACGCUGAUUCUGAAUCUAGACCAGGCCUAUGAGGUCAAGAUUGACAAUGAGAAGGUAGAAUCUGGCAGUCUGGAGGAGGACUGGGACUUCCGGCCUCCUAAGAAAAUUAAGGAUCCAGAGGCUAUAAGCCAGAGGACUGGGACGACUGUCCAAAGAUCGAGGAUCCUGAAGACACGAAGCCCGAGGACUGGCAGAAACCAGAAUACAUCCCAGAUCCUGAUGCCAAAAAGCCUGAAGACUGGAUGCCGGCGUCCGAGGGAAUUCUGUCCUUUGUGCUUCAGAUGAGGGAUUAUUUGGAAGCCUACAGAGAACAAGCACAGGACAGUCUUGCAAAAGCCCAGAAAGAUAAAAAAUGCUGGUACGACAAGAGGGCCCGUCAGCGUGAGUUGAACCAGGUGACAAAGUUGUUACUUUUACCAUUGAAUGCCAGGAUUACAAGGUGGUAUCUCGCCUUGCAGCCUUUCAGUUUUAGUGUGAGUCAUAGACCCGGACGGACCAAUACUCUGGCCGACUACUUGUCCAGAUUUUCCUAA